rnacentral:rRNA from 1 species
AUUGAACGCUGGCGGCAGGCUUAACACAUGCAAGUCGAGCGGAGCGAGGGUGCUUGCACCUUAGCUUAGCGGCGGACGGGUGAGUAAUGCUUAGGAAUCUGCCUAUUAGUGGGGGACAACAUUCCGAAAGGGAUGCUAAUACCGCAUACGCCCUACGGGGGAAAGCAGGGGAUCUUCGGACCUCGCGCUAAUAGAUGAGCCUAAGUCGGAUUAGCUAGUUGGUGGGGUAAAGGCCUACCAAGGCGACGAUCUGUAGCGGGUCUGAGAGGAUGAUCCGCCACACUGGGACUGAGACACGGCCCAGACUCCUACGGGAGGCAGCAGUGGGGAAUAUUGGACAAUGGGGGGAACCCUGAUCCAGCCAUGCCGCGUGUGUGAAGAAGGCCUUUUGGUUGUAAAGCACUUUAAGCGAGGAGGAGGCGCUCUAGGCUAAUACCCUAGAUGCGUGGACGUUACUCGCAGAAUAAGCACCGGCUAACUCUGUGCCAGCAGCCGCGGUAACAC